rnacentral:rRNA from 1 species
GAUGAACGCUGGCGGCGUGCCUAAUACAUGCAAGUCGAGCGAACGGACGAGAAGCUUGCUUUUCUGAUGUUAGCGGCGGACGGGUGAGUAACACGUGGAUAACCUACCUAUAAGACUGGGAUAACUUCGGGAAACCGGAGCUAAUACCGGAUAAUAUUUUGAACCGCAUGGUUCAAAAGUGAAAGACGGUCUUGCUGUCACUUAUAGAUGGAUCCGCGCUGCAUUAGCUAGUUGGUAAGGUAACGGCUUACCAAGGCAACGAUGCAUAGCCGACCUGAGAGGGUGAGCGGCCACACUGGAACUGAGACACGGUCCAGACUCCUACGGGAGGCAGCAGUAGGGAAUCUUCCGCAAUGGGCGAAAGCCUGACGGAGCAACGCCGCGUGAGUGAUGAAGGUCUUCGGAUCGUAAAACUCUGUUAUUAGGGAAGAACAAAUGUGUAAGUAACUAUGCACGUCUUGACGGUACCUAAUCAGAAAGCCACGGCUAACUACGUG